GACGAACGCUGGCGGCGUGCCUAAUACAUGCAAGUAGAACGCUGAAGAGAGGAGCUUGCUCUUCUUGGAUGAGUUGCGAACGGGUGAGUAACGCGUAGGUAACCUGCCUUGUAGCGGGGGAUAACUAUUGGAAACGAUAGCUAAUACCGCAUAACAAUGGAUGACACAUGUCAUUUAUUUGAAAGGGGCAAUUGCUCCACUACAAGAUGGACCUGCGUUGUAUUAGCUAGUAGGUGAGGUAAUGGCUCACCUAGGCGACGAUACAUAGCCGACCUGAGAGGGUGAUCGGCCACACUGGGACUGAGACACGGCCCAGACUCCUACGGGAGGCAGCAGUAGGGAAUCUUCGGCAAUGGGGGCAACCCUGACCGAGCAACGCCGCGUGAGUGAAGAAGGUUUUCGGAUCGUAAAGCUCUGUUGUGAGUCAAGAACGGGUGUGAGAGUGGAAAGUUCACACUGUGACGGUAGCUUACCAGAAAGGGACGGCUAACUACGUG
rnacentral:rRNA from 1 species